GACGAACGCUGGCGGCGUGCUUAACACAUGCAAGUCGAACGGAAAGGCCCUGCUUUUGUGGGGUGCUCGAGUGGCGAACGGGUGAGUAACACGUGAGUAACCUGCCCUUGACUUUGGGAUAACUUCAGGAAACUGGGGCUAAUACCGGAUAGGAGCUCCUGCUGCAUGGUGGGGGUUGGAAAGUUUCGGCGGUUGGGGAUGGACUCGCGGCUUAUCAGCUUGUUGGUGGGGUAGUGGCUUACCAAGGCUUUGACGGGUAGCCGGCCUGAGAGGGUGACCGGCGACAAGGGGACUGAGAGACGGACCAGACGCCUACAGGAGGCAGCAGUGGGGAAUAUUGCACAAUGGGCGGAAGCCUGAUGCAGAAACGCCGCGUGCGGGAUGACGGCCUUCGGGUUGUGAACCGCUGUCGCCUGUGACGAAGCGUGAGUGACGGUAAUGGGUAAAGAAGCACCGGCUAACUACGUG
rnacentral:rRNA from 1 species